rnacentral:rRNA from 1 species
AGAGUUUGAUCCUGGCUCAGAACGAACGCUGGCGGCGCGUUUUAAGCAUGCAAGUCGAACGGUAACCAUCCUUCGGGAUGGCUAGAGUGGCGGACGGGUGAGUAACACGUAGGUGAUCUGCCCUUGAGUUGGGGAUAGCCCAUGGAAACAUGGGGUAAUACCGAAUACGCUCGGGACCCUUUGGGGAUCUGAGGAAAAGCGCUUCGGCGCUGCUCGAGGAUGAGCCUGCGGCUGAUUAGUUAGUUGGCGGGGUAAUGGCCCACCAAGGCAACGAUCAGUAGCCGGCCUGAGAGGGUGAACGGCCACACUGGGACUGAGAUACGGCCCAGACUCCUACGGGAGGCAGCAGCUAAGAAUCUUCUGCAAUGGACGAAAGUCUGACAGAGCGACGCCGCGUGGGUGAAGAAGGCCGGAAGGUUGUAAAACCCUUUUCUAUUCGAGGAAUAACCGCAGGAGGCAAUGCCUGCGAGAUGACGGUAGGGUAGGAAUAAGCCCCGGCCAAUUACGUGCCAGCAGCCGCGGUAACACGUAUGGGGCGAGCGUUGUUCGGAAUCAUUGGGCGUAAAGGGCGCGUAGGCGGAUAUGCAAGCUUGGUGUGAAAGACCGCAGCUUAACUGCGGGAGCGCGCUGAGAACUGCAUGUCUAGAGUUCAAGAGGGGAAGCUGGAAUUCCAGGUGUA